rnacentral:ncRNA from 1 species
GUAAAAACGAUGAUGGAAAAAGUACGUAUUUGUGCGUGUACAAGAAAGGGAUUUCUAGGCUGGAAAAAUCCUCACGACAGCAAAUGCCGAAAGCUACUCCAGAGUGCAGCUAAUCCCUGCCGUUCACUGACGUUACAAGUGCUAAAGAGGUAAGUAAGCAUUUUUUACUUACAACUAGGGUGGUACCGCGAGACAAAUGACAAGUCCUCGUCCCUUUU